UCCAGGUCCGGCAGCCUGGACAAGGCGUCCACCAUGAUGUAAAAGACAACUCUGUAGCCGCUCAUGAAGUGCUUAUUCGCUGAUCGCAUGAAAAGCUCCAGGUACUGGUCCGUGGUCCUGCAAGACACACACGCGCAUGGAGGAAGCCGCUCCCCGAACGCUCGCGAGAGAGGAACGCGCGUCCCCAAACGUCUAACUUAUGAGUCACCGACGCUCCAGGACCCCCAGCAGGAAAGGGGAGACAGGCCCGGUCUAUAGUUUCGACGGCACUGGUCAGUGAGAAAGGACAUAUUGACCUGGAGGGUCUAGCAAAAAAGCCUUUAAAGUUUUGGAACGACUGUUGGGAAGAAAGAAAAUGUGAACUCCAUGGUAUCUAUAAAAAGGCAGCCAAGUGGCUUUAACGACCCAGCUAAGGAACGAGUCUUUAUUUUUGUUCAGGACAGCCACAUACGGUGGUUGUGGGCAGCUACGGGCAGCCUUUUGGAGGUAGAAGGUCCCCGGGCACUCAUUCGUAUUUUUUUUUUUUUUUUUCAGAAUAAAACGGGGCAAACCGAUGGCCCCUACCUGCCAGUAGCAAGGACAGCCAAGCCUAUGACGAGAAGCCAGUGAAGCCGGUGCCCCAGUGGAGGCCGUCCAAGCGACACCAGCUGACGCCUACACAGCCCUUACCGCGUGCCGGGCACUGUGUUGGUGUUCAUUCGGUCCUUGCAGUGGUCUGUGCGGGAAGCACAAUUAUGGUCCUUGUUCUUGGUGUGCAGAAACAGAGGCACAGAUCGGUGGAGCGAGCUGCCCAAUACCGCAGAGCUGACACAUGUGGGUCAGUACGCGAGGCCCAGCACCUGCUGCUUUUGUCACCACGCCACCUGCCUCUGGGCCCAGGGACGACCUCCUCUGAGCUCCGGCUCAGCUGAACUGAGGCAGCUCAGAGUCAGAACGCCCUCUGGUAUUGCCUGAAGCCAGGGCUGCACGCACGCUACCUCUGCGUCCCUAUGCUUUAUCUUCCCUUCUUCCUCUUUUUCUCUCCCUCCCCCUUCCCUAGAAGAUCCAGAAGGUGCUUUCUCUAAACUUCCCCCUCUUGCAUUAGGUCCAUUAGUGCAAUCUGGCAGAAAUAAAAAGUCUAAAAAGGA